ACUCUUGGAAGAAAGCCAGGUUAGUGCUUUUUCUUUUAUUCACAAUGGAAAUGGCACAGCUAUAAAGGAACCCUAAAGUGCACCUUCCCUAGACACCGAGCAUCUAAUCACAGUAUAACUAUUACUGUUAAGACACAACCAAAAACACCUUGUAGCAUGGAGUUCUAGGUACAUCGACUGAGCUUAAUAUAUUUCGAUGCCUGGCGCCUUCUUUCAUUACUUCACGCUCUUUGUGAAGCAAUGUAGCCUGGUUGUUAUGUAGAAGGCAGUGAGUUCUGCAGUGAUCACUGCAUAGAUUCGCAGUGAUCAGAGAAGCCAAGCUGAUGCUGCCGCCUUGCUUUAACAACAUCUAAAACACUGUCUGCGUGCAACUCAAGAAGACUAAAACAAGUUGUGAAGUCUUUCUCCAAGUUGCCUACAAGCUGGUACAGAGGGGAGGCAGGACAUAACAAACCACCGUUGUCUUUCAUAUGGGUAAACUCUGCAAGCCUCAAAUUUCCUGCUGUCUCUCUGGUGAUCAGUAGCAAGUUCAGGCAGGCUUCGCAGCCUGUCUUUAAAACGAACACUGCCGCUUUCGGAGCACCCGGAUAACCACUGUGGCAGCCCGGAGCGUAGCAAUGGGAGUCCGUCUUUGUUUUUUGCAUCGUGCCUCCUGUGGUGUAAUACAUGCAGAGAGACGCCUUCUUUUUCAAAACAUCCAUUGUUUUUCACCAGAAUGACCACUUUGAACGUAACACAGCUCGGCAAAUACACGGAGCAAACAGCCGCAGAGCGUGUUUGAGCCAGCCCGACCGCGACCGGCAGCUAGAAAAAGGCGUAGCAGUGCCACCGGCGGCGGCUACUGGCAUUUGCUUCAACCGGUUCAUUGCCUCUCCGCCUUGUUCGCGCCACUAGGACAUUAUUCUAGUACACUAUAGGCAUUCCCAUGCAUACCAAAGCGCAGCAGCGCCAGAUUUCCCUCUAGGUAAUGUAGUGAGAAACUCUAUGGCUAAACGGAAACAGAGUGCAAUCUCAAAAAAAAAAAAAAAAAAAGAAAAUGGCGGCAGACUAAAACCAUGUAUGUUGAAGAUGUAGAUUAACAUAUAAAGAACUUCUAAAAAGCGAUUGCUUUAGUUGUAUUAUAAAAAAUAACAAUCGUAAUCUAUAUUUACUCAAAAAACAAAAGUAUUUUUAUCAUAAGAGUGUUGCAAGUCAAGGCCGGCCAAGAUGAAUGCCUAGUCAAUCCAGAACAAGAUGGUGACGUGCGACGAGGCGGCAUUUGAUCCUGUUAGAACAGAAUAUCAGCGAGUUAUGAUUAUUUUGUUAAAAGCUGUUCAACAGCUAGAAUUAACUUGUAUGUCCUUUUUCUAUGCAUUACAUUUUGUACCGUUGAUACCGCUGGCGGCGAGGCUACGUACUCGACCAUCAAAGUGCGUUCCGUGAACGCACUCCGACCGGAGUGCGCUCUUCUGCGAGUACACUCAGCUUGCGACGUUUAGAUGUGGGAAAGUGCACUUGAAACCGCGUGCACUCUUCGUAAGUGCACUUAACUUGCACGCUUGACAGGGCUGCUCUGCUCUGUUUCCUUGGUGCAACUGUUUGCGGUGCAGCAAAGUGUUAUGCCUCGAAUGAUGCCUAGGCAGUCAAGGCGUUAGUGUCAGAAAGCAAGCUGUAAAUGUUGUACAAGUUGCAAAAGAAAUUUUGAUUGUACAAGAGGAGCGAAUGCAAUCAACAUAAACUGUUUUUUACGAAUAAUUAAGUUGUAUUACUAAAGCAGGGAGUAGAUAUGCAUGGAAAUCGGAUUGUAUUGUUACUUAGCAGGUACAAGGUAACAUCAUUACUAAUGAAUUAUUUUCUUUUACUGAAAGACUAGUUGCUGUUGCCCUGCUGGAGCUGAGAAGAGGUUUGCUGCCUGUAAUGUGUCCAUCUCUCUCAAGUUAUCGCAGUAUUGUUGCUGUCAAAGCUCAAAAAAGUAUGGUGGAAGCUGUUGCCAAGGUUCUGACCAGAAAGGAAAGCCAGUAUAGAAGGGUCCACGCCACUGAUCUCUACUACAGGGGGUGGAUAGCACAUCAGGCUCCCUCGACCGAAGCCAACCUUGUCCCCGAAGGUGGUGCUUCAAGACUUUGCAGCAGCAUUUCCUUUGCACGGCCUGUGGAGACAAGGUUUCUUGGACAUGGUCAUGGCCCUCAAGAAUGAUGCCGUGGCCACAGCAGUUGACUGCAAAAACCAAGAUCAUAAGCAGUUCCUCCAGCGACCACGAAAAGGCCCCUGGGGCACCGGUCUAAUUCGGCGCCACCACUUUUCUCCUGCAGCUUUUCUACCUACUUAGCUAACCAGCAAGGCUAUCCUUGCAAGGCGUUUGGGGUCAAGAACAACUUUCACCAGGAAAGAGUGCAAGACGAGUGAUUGAAGAAAAUAAAGUUGCUUCUGUGAUCU